rnacentral:rRNA from 1 species
ACAAAAGGCCAUACCACCCUGAAUGUAUCCUAUCUCGUUUGAUCUCUGAAGCUAAGCAGGGUUGGGCCUGGUUAGUACUUGGAUGAGAGACCAUUUCUUAUUUA